CGCCUCUUGAAUUUAUUAGAGGUCCAGCCUGCCCAGUGACUUCUGUUUAACGGCCGCGGUAUCCUAACCGUGCGAAGGUAGCGUAAUCACUUGUCUUCUAAAUAAAGACUAGUAUGAAAGGCAUCACGAGGGUUUAACUGUCUCCUCUGUCUAAUCAGUGAACCUAAUCUCCCCGUGAAAAAGCGGGGAUUUCUUUAUAAGACGAGAAGACCCUAUGGAGCUUAAAACAUCCUACACGUGCCUAACUAAUUAUGUACCCAGGUACCCACACCUCACUGCACGGUGAUUUUUAUGUUUUUGGUUGGGGUGACCGCGGAGAAAAACACAUCCCCCGCAAUGAAAGGAGUCUCUCCUUAACUACAAGCUACUACUUUAUGUAUUAAUAUAUUAACGCCUUUGACCCAAUAAAUUGAUUAAUGAACCAAGUUACCCUAGGGAUAACAGCGCAAUCCACUUCCAGAGCCCCUAUCGACAAGUGGGCUUACGACCUCGAUGUUGGAUCGGGGUGUCCCAGUGGUGCAGCCGCUACUAAAGGUUCGUUUGUUCAACGAUUAAAACCCC
rnacentral:rRNA from 1 species